rnacentral:rRNA from 1 species
UGCCAGCAGCCGCGGUAAUACGGAGGGUGCAAACGUUGUUCGGAAUUAUUGGGCGUAAAGAGCAUGUAGGCGGUUGUUUAAGUCUGAUGUGAAAGCCCUGGGCUCAACCCAGGAAGUGCAUUGGAUACUGGAUAACUUGAGUACGGGAGAGGAAAGUGGAAUUUCGAGUGUAGGGGUGAAAUCCGUAGAUAUUCGAAGGAACACCAGUGGCGAAGGCGGCUUUCUGGACCGAUACUGACGCUGAGAUGCGAAAGCGUGGGGAGCAAACAGGAUUAGAUA